CAAAGUAUAGCUUAAUACUAAAGCAUUUCGCUUACACCGAAAUCAUGUUUGUGCAACUCAAACUUCUUUGA
rnacentral:tRNA from 1 species